rnacentral:ncRNA from 1 species
AUGAUGCGAGAGCGCUCGUCGUCCUCACCUCCCUGUUGGACUUCGCCGGGCCUUGUGCCCGGCAUUUUUU